rnacentral:rRNA from 1 species
GCUUAGCCCUUAACACAGACAGUAACAACACACUAUUGUCCGCCAGAGAACUACGAGCGAAAAACUUAAAACUCCAAGGACUUGGCGGUUCUCCACACCAGCCUAGAGGAGCCUGUCCUAUAAUCGAUACCCCACGUUAUACCUCACCACCCCUUGCAACCCCAGCCUAUAUACCGCCGUCGUCAGCCUACCUUGUGAAAGAAAAACAGUAGGCAAAACAGUAAACUACUAAAACGUCAGGUCAAGGUGUAGCCAAUGAGGUGGAAGAGAUGGGCUACAUUUUCUAAUAAAGAAAACACGAAUAGCGCCAUGAAACAGGCGUUUGAAGGCGGAUUUAGCAGUAAGGUAUUAAGAAAGACUACCUAAAAUAUGCUCUGGAGCGCGCACAC